GCUCCAAUAGCUCAACCGGCAGAGCAUCAGUCUUAUGAGCUGAAGGUCAAGAGUUCGAUCCUCUUUUGGAGCACAA
rnacentral:tRNA from 1 species